GCGUCAUUGGUGUAAGGCGUAGCAGUGCUGCCUGAAAAGCAAAAGGUGCGGGUUCGAGUCCUGCCUGGCGCA
rfam:Heligmosomoides polygyrus genome assembly, scaffold: HPBE_scaffold0005650